CCCUUAGAUGUCCUGGGCCGCACGCGCGCUACAAUGACUUGCUCAGAAAGUUUUUCCUGGCUCGGAAGGGUUCAGGGUAAUCUUUGUAAUACAAGUCGUGUUAGGGAUCGAUCUUUGCAAUUAUAGAUCUUGAACGAGGAAUGCCUAGUAAGUGCAGUUCAUCAGGCUGUACUGAUUACGUCCCUGCCCUUUGUACACACCGCCCGUCGCUCCUACCGAUUGAAUGUUCCGGUGAGCUCUUCGGACUGCGCGGUCUGCAGUUUCUGCGUUCCGUGCGGAAAGUUGCGCAAACCUUAACAUUUAGAGGAAGGAGAAGUCGUAACA
rnacentral:rRNA from 1 species